UACGAGUGGAGCGAGCGUUGUUCGGAAUCACUGGGCGUAAAGCGUGCGCAGGCGGUCAUGUAAGUCGGGAGUGAAAUCCCAGGGCUUAACCCUGGAAUGGCUUUCGAAACUACAUGACUAGAAUCCCGGAGAGGUUGGCGGAAUUCUCAGUGUAGAGGUGAAAUUCGCAGAUAUUGAGAGGAACACCAGUGGCGUAAGCGGCCAACUGGACGGGUAUUGACGCUCAGGCACGAAAGCGUGGGGAUCAAACAGG
rnacentral:rRNA from 1 species